rnacentral:rRNA from 1 species
CAGUAGCCCGGUAAUACGAAGGGUGCAAGCGUUAAUCGGAAUUACUGGGCGUAAAGCGUGCGUAGGCGGUUUGUUAAGUCUGUUGUGAAAUCCCCGGGCUCAACCUGGGAAUGGCAAUGGAUACUGGCAAGCUAGAGUGUGUCAGAGGAUGGUGGAAUUCCCGGUGUAGCGGUGAAAUGCGUAGAGAUCGGGAGGAACAUCAGUGGCGAAGGCGGCCAUCUGGGACAACACUGACGCUGAGGCACGAAAGCGUGGGGAGCAAAUAGGAUUAGAUACCCGCGUAGUCCCUGUCUCUUAUACA